rnacentral:rRNA from 1 species
CAAUAGCGUAUAUUUAAGUUGUUGCAGUUAAAAAGCUCGUAGUUGGAUUUCGGGUGGGACGCAGCAGUCUCGCAUUGCGUUUGUACUGCUGCAGCCCUCCUUCUUGCCGGGGGCGGCCUCUCGGACUUCACUGUCUGGGGGUCAGAAUCGGCGAUGUUACUUUGAGUAAAUUAGAGUGUUCAAAGCAAGCUUACGCUCUGAAUAUAAUAGCAUGGGAUAACACGACAGGACUCUGGCCUAUCGUGUUGGUCUAUAGGACCAGAGUAAUGAUUAAGAGGGACAGUCGGGGGCAUUCGUAUUCCGUUGUCAGAGGUGAAAUUCUUGGAUUUACGGAAGACGAACAUCUGCGAAAGCAUUUGCCAAGGAUGUUUUCAUUGA